rnacentral:pre_miRNA from 1 species
AGGAACCACCACAGUGUCGCUGGCCAGCUCUGGAAACCUUGAUUCAGCUCCCACAGUAAUUAAGGAGCUCUCAGCCUGCAGGGGCCUGGAGGCUCCGGGGCGGG